GACGAACGCUGGCGGCGUGCCUAAUACAUGCAAGUCGAACGCUUCUUUCCUCCCGAGUGCUUGCACUCAAUUGGAAAGAGGAGUGGCGGACGGGUGAGUAACACGUGGGUAACCUACCCAUCAGAGGGGGAUGACACUUGGAAACAGGUGCUAAUACCGCAUAACAGUUUAUGCCGCAUGGCAUAAGAGUGAAAGGCGCUUUCGGGUGUCGCUGAUGGAUGGACCCGCGGUGCAUUAGCUAGUUGGUGAGGUAACGGCUCACCAAGGCCACGAUGCAUAGCCGACCUGAGAGGGUGAUCGGCCACACUGGGACUGGGACACGGCCCAGACUCCUACGGGAGGCAGCAGUAGGGAAUCUUCGGCAAAGGACGAAAGUCUGACCGAGCAACGCCGCGUGAGUGAAGAAGGUUUUCGGAUCGUAAAACUCUGUUGUUAGAGAAGAACAAGGACGUUAGUAACUGAACGUCCCCUGACGGUAUCUAACCAGAAAGCCACGGCUAACUACGUG
rnacentral:rRNA from 1 species